rnacentral:rRNA from 1 species
CCUACGGGAGGCAGCAGUGGGGAAUAUUGCGCAAUGGGCGAAAGCCUGACGCAGCGACGCCGCGUGAGGGAUGAAGGUCCUCGGAGCGUAAACCUCCGUUUGUAGGGAAGUAAGUUCACUGAGCUGAUCCGCAGUGAAUUUACGGUACGUGCAAAGAAAGGACCGGCUAACUCCGUGCCAGCAGCCGCGGUAAGACGGAGGGUGCGAGCGUGAAUCGGAUUUACUGGGCGUAAAGCGGUCGUAGGCGGUAUGUCAAGUCAAGGGUGAAAUCCCCGCGCUCAACGUGGGAACUGCCUUUGAAACUGGCAGACUGGAGUGUGUGAGAGGAUAGUGGAAUUCCAGGUGUAGGAGUGAAAUCCGUAGAUAUCUGGAAGAACAUCAGUGGCGAAGGCAACUAACUGGCACAUAACUGACGCUGAGGAGCGAAAGCGUGGGUAGCAAACAGGAUUAGAUACCCUUGUAGUC